GGGCAUACCUGUAGACCUUGCUUGACUAUGCUUAUGGACAGGAAAAGUAGACAGUAUGCAAGAGAAAUCUAGAGUUUAUGCCAGAUUUUGUCAGCUUAAUGGAUGGCUAAAUAAAUUGCAGCAGCACUCCUACAUUA